rnacentral:ncRNA from 2 species
UAUGCAUGCAGAUUUUUCGGUUCUUCAGUAUGAAGAUUAAAAGGGAAGGCGGUGAAAUGCCGCCGCAGCCCCCGCUACUGUAAGGCAGACUGCAGAAUAAAUUUGGGUUUGGUAAGCCAAGCCUGACCACUGGGAAAAGAUGCCCGGGAAGGUGUGUUCUGCAGAAUGAAGCCAAGCCAGGAGACCUGCCGAAAAAUCAAGCCGUUA